ACCUUACCUAGGCUUGACAUGCAGGGGACAGGUGUAGAAAUACAUCCUUCUUCGGAUCCCUGCACAGGUGCUGCAUGGCUGUCGUCAGCUCGUGUCGUGAAAUGUUGGGUUAAGUCCCGCAACGAGCGCAACCCUUAUUCUUAGUUGUUUUCCCUUUGGGAUUACCCUCUAAGAAGACUGCCUCGGAUAACGGGGAGGAAGGUGGGGAUGACGUCAAGUCCGCAUGCUCCUUACGUCUAGGGCUACACACGUCCUACAAUGGGGUCGACAAUGGGAUGCAAUAUCGCAAGAUGGAGCCAAUCCCCAAACGGCCUCUCAGUUCGGAUUGUAGUCUGCAACU
rnacentral:rRNA from 1 species